rnacentral:rRNA from 1 species
CUACACACGUGCUACAAUGGCGGUACAAAGGGUUGCGAACCCGCGAGGGGGAGCCAAUCCCAAAAAGCCGCUCUCAGUUCGGAUUGCAGGCUGCAACUCGCCUGCAUGAAGCCGGAAUCGCUAGUAAUCGCGGAUCAGCAUGCCGCGGUGAAUACGUUCCCGGGCCUU